UUGCAGUACUUCCAGGAACGGUG
rnacentral:piRNA from 1 species